AACGAACGCUGGCGGCAUGCCUAACACAUGCAAGUCGAACGAGACCUUCGGGACUAGUGGCGCAAGGGUGCGUAACGCGUGGGAACGUGCCGUUAGGUUCGGAAUAACACUCCGUAAGGGGUGCUAAUACCGGAUAAUGUCUUCGGAUCAAAGAUAUAUCGUCUUUGGAUGGGCCCGCGUUGGAUUAGCUUGUUGGUAGGGUAAAAGCCUACCAAGGAGACGAUACAUAGCUGGUCUGAGAGGAUGAUCAGCCACACUGGGACUAAGAUGCGGCACAGACUCCUGCGGAAGGCAGCAGAGGGGAAUAUUGUACUAUGGGCGAAAGCCUGAUCCAGCAAUGCCGCGUGAGUGAUGAUGGCGUGAGAGUUGUAAAGCUCUUUUACCCGGGAUGGUAAUGACAGUACCGGGAGAAUAAGCACCGGCUAACUCCGUG
rnacentral:rRNA from 1 species